rnacentral:rRNA from 1 species
UACGGGGGGGGCAAGCGUUGUUCGGAAUUACUGGGCGUAAAGGGCUCGUAGGCGGCCGCCUAAGUCAGACGUGAAAUCCCUCGGCUCAACCGGGGAACUGCGUCUGAUACUGGGUGGCUUGAAUCCGGGAGAGGGAUGCGGAAUUCCAGGUGUAGCGGUGAAAUGCGUAGAUAUCUGGAGGAACGCCGGUGGCGAAAGCGACGCACUGGACCUCUUCUGACGCUGAGGCGCGAAAGCCAGGGGAGCAAACGGG